UACGAAGGGGCUAGCGUUGCUCGGAUUGACUGGGCGUAAAGGGCGCGUAGGCGGUUCGUACAGUCAGACGUGAAAUUCCUGGGCUCAACCUGGGGCUGCGUUUGAUACGUGCGGACUUGAGUGCGGAAGAGGGUCGUGGAAUUCCCAGUGUAGAGGUGAAAUUCGUAGAUAUUGGGAAGAACACCGGUGGCGAAGGCGGCGACCUGGUCCUUGACUGACGCUGAGGCGCGAAAGCGUGGGGAGCAAACAGG
rnacentral:rRNA from 1 species